rnacentral:lncRNA from 1 species
UUGAACUCUAAGUACCUUUUCUAAACACAUUGCAUUGUACAUGGUGUAAUCUGCACGCACAUGUCUUUUUUUAGAGAUUUGCACGCACAUGCUAAUCAUGGAUAUAGUGCCCAGCCCUUAGGGGAGGCUAAUCUGGACUUCCCAAGGACCUGAAAAUGACUCACUAGUGGGCUUUUACAUGGGCAUGUUUUCCUUUACUUUUUUCCUGUUUCUUUUUUUUUGUAAAUGCACAUUUUAUUCAAAUUUCAUGAACUUUUUUCAAAUUAACGAUUUUUCAAAAUUGAUGUUUUUUCAAAUUCAAUGAUCUUUUCAAAAUCAAUAAACUUUUUUUCCGAAUUUGAUGGUUUUUCUCAAUUUGGGGAACUUUUUCAAAUUGACUUUUCUUUUCAAAUCCGUGAACUUUUUUUAAGUUUGUAAACUUUUUUUCAAAAUGUGUGAACAUUCUUUAAUUCACUUUUUUUUGUGGUUUUAAAUUUUUACAUUUUUUUUCGUAUUUUUAACGUCAACUGGUCAAUCACGACCAGUCAAAAUGUGAUGGAGCAACCAAGGGGAAAACCGGUCAAGCGACCGAUCGCUCGCCUUCUACAUGGGCCGGCCCACAUGCAGGGGUGUGUGACUGCUGGUUCCUCCAAGUGGCGCUUAACUUAAGGCAGCACAUAGGAGCUCCCGGGGGCCAAGUACUUAUUUACGUGCAUCGUAUCUCUAAUUAGCUAUGCCAUGCUCAGUGCCUGGUUGAUCAAUAGGGGUCGGGGGCUAGGCCUCUGCUCGCCCCCAUGUCUCCACCACUGGCUAUCUGCCUCGGCGAUUUCUCCUCUGGUGAGAAUAAUGUGGCUUCUCAACAUAUCUGAAUGACACUGUUACCAUAAAUUAGUUAUUUGGUGCUUCCUCCCUUACUGUUGACGGACGACUCAAGAACAAGCUUGAAUUCAUGGCUCAUUUUUUAUAUACAUGUAGUUCAAAACGAAUAUUAUUCGAUAAGUGGCUAGAAAUGCAAUUCUUUUUUAAAAUUAGCAAAUGGUUCAAAAAAAGGUUAAAAUCCGGAUUGCUAACAUAGUUUAAUACGUUCCAUGUGGGAAAAUUAGGGAUGUUUUAGAAAAAAACAUUGUCAUAUUUAAUCCUUUGAGUGCAUUUCUAGUCAUUUAACUGAUAUAUUUAAAGAUUAAACUAUAAGUGCAUCAAAAGUUGGCAACAUUAGGUUCGAUAAUCCUAUUUGUAUUCUUAAGUGCAUGUUUAGGCCUUAUCCAAAAAAGAUAAGGGAUUCAAAACACGGUGUCAGGGCUUGGCCCCAAAGAUGGAGAUUAUUAAAAAAAAUUAAUUCCAAAAAAAUAACCAAUUUCUAAAAAAAUAUGAAACUUGGCAUUGUGUCAUCAUAUGGUCCCUAAAGAAUAUGGUAAAAAAAUUGUAAGAUUUUGCAAAAUUUAUGACGUACGUUGUGUGAAAAUUGAACCAUCUUCGGGGAUGAAAUGUGAUUUUGAGAAGGAACGAGUUGACUUUGAAGGUGAAGUCUGACAGAGCUAAAUCCGACACAUCUCGGGUAGGGGUCGCGAACUAAGGGUCUGGAGACAAUGAUAAUAAGAACACAAAUUUUUACACAGGUUCAGACUCUCCGGAGAGAUAACACGGUACGCCCUGCUUGUGUUUCCUUUGGAUAGCGUACAAAGUAUAAAUGAUCUAUCUCAAGAUCGUUAUUUUGUCGUAUACGAGCCCUGCCCCUCAUUUUAUAUAGGUAUCGAGAGGGCCUAGUCGGUUACUUACAAAGAGAACAUGUUCUAAAACAACACCCCAUGCUUAGGUUAGUUAAUUAUUAAUAUAUGUAUUUGUAUAGUCAGCAACUGGCUAUGCUAUUAGUCAUGCUUAGGUUAGUUAACAAAUAUUUAUACUGCACCGCCAUGUACUCCUUGGAAUUAAGCAUGCAUCCAUGAUUACUAGAAGUUAAUCUCCUUCUUAAGAGGUUGUCUUUCCUACUCUUUAAGAAAAGUCUCCUUCCUCCUUUCGUCGGCGCCGCCGCUGAUCCGCCCCACCUCUGAUGGCCUUUGGGUCGUGGAGACGGCGCAAUUUAAACCAAACUUCUGCGAGUUCGUUCAUAUUUAAAAUAUUUAAAAAAAAAACCGCUACUACUCUGCUCCUCGCCGUCUCCCUCGCCGCUCCUCGCCGCCCGCCGCCCUUGCAGUUCUACAUGCCGAGGAAGCUGUAGAACCGCGUGUAGUCGCCGCCGCCGCCGUCGUCGUCGUCGCCUCCGCCGCGGCCGCCGUCCCUGCUGCAGCCCUCCCCCGGUUGGCGCAGCGGGUUGGACGGUCCGGCGGCGUCCUCGUCGUCGUCGUUGUCGAGGACGCGCGUCGUCACGCCUUCACUGCGCCGCCCGUGAGGCAUCAAUGGCGGAGGCUGACCGGCGCGGCAGCGCGCGGCAGCUUUGGCAUUGAUUCGCCGCGGGAAACAAGGCGAUGAGGACGACGAAGCGGCGAGAAGCGAGACGAGUCGCUGGCAAGGAGGGCACGCGGCUCUUUCGCGCCAAAAACAAUUCGCCCGGCGCCCCAAGCGCCCCCAGCACGUCGGGGUCGGGUUGGGUCCGCCGGCACCAAUUUCGGCCCGAGCCGGCGAAAAUUGGGCCCUUGGGGACGCGACUGGACCGAUUUUUUUACGCCGGCGGCUGAAAAGUCGCCUGGGGGGUCUAGUUGGGGACGCAGCUGGAGAUGCUCUUAGCACUAGUAUAACUGGGAUCUUCUGAUGGGCCCGCGAGCAACCACGUUCCGACAUGUUGCCACUCACUUUACUCAUUCCAGAUUCCACUCCAACCACCCGCAAAACCCUAGCUAGCCACGCCCGUGCUCCCCUGACCACCUCCCGCCGGCGCCGGCGAUGGCCAGCCGGUUCUCCAACGUCGACCCGGUGACGGCGGCCGACAUGCGGCGCCAAGGCCUCGACCCGCACGAGCUGGACCGGAGCACGGAGCAGCUCAUGUCGCUCAUCCACAGCAACCUCCCGGACCCGCCGGUCUCCACCACCGCCCGCCUCACCGCCUUCCGCGCGCGCCCCUCCGACGGCGUGGACCGCAUCAGCCGCCUCUCCGACGCGCUCCUCCGCGACAUCGUCUCCCGCCUCCCCGUCAAGGACGCCGCCCGCACCGCCGCGCUCGCCGCGCGCUGGCGCGGGGUAUGGCGCUCGACGCCGCUCGUCCUCGUCGACACCCACCUGGUCUCCUCCGCGCGCGCCAGCACGCCGGACGUCAUCGCGGCCGUCUCCCGCGUCCUCGCCGCGCACCAGGAGCCCUUCCGCUGCGUCCACCUCACCUGGAGCCGCAUGGGCGCGUACCAGGCCCAGCUCAAGCGCUGGCUCCGUCUCCUCGCCGCCAGGGGCGUCCAGGAGCUCGUCCUCGUCAACCGCCCGUGGCUCCGCGAGGUGCCCCUCCCCAAAACGCUCUUCACCAUCUCCACCCUCACCCGCCUCUACAUCGGAGUCUGGAAGUUCCCGGACGCGGCUGGCCUCCAAGGCGCCUCCUUUCCCCACCUCCGGGAGCUCGGCAUCUGCAGCGUCGCCAUGAAGGACGGGGACAUCGACGCCGUCGUCGCCAGGAACCCCGCCCUGGAGAUCCUCAACAUCCAAGGGAGCAUGAAGGGGGUGCAUCUCCGCCUCGUCAGCCACAGCCUCCGUUGCGUGCAGAUCUGCUCUUUCGUCAUGGAGAGCGUCAGCGUGUUGAACGCCCCGCGUCUGGAGCGUCUCAUCCUGUCAGAGUGUCUCAACCCUGCCGGCGGAUCGUGCAUCAGAGUAAAGAUUGGCAACGUCCCCAAGCUGAAAGUAUUCGGGUUCCUGGAGCCAGGAAAAUACGUGCUGGAGAUCCAAGACACCGUCAUCAUGGUAAUACGCAUCCAUCCUCCGAAUGACCAUUCAGCUUUGUUCAAUUUGCGAACAAGUGCAGUUCAAUGUGCCAUCUUUUUUGCUGAAUCCAUCCAUCCAUCCAAUUCACUGAUUUCAGGCUGGGAUUAAGACAAGUGCAAGCAUGAUGGUCACAAGCGUGAAUGUCCUUAGUAUGAAGGUGCGCUUCGGAGUCUACGACGAUGUCAAGAUGGUGCCCGCCUUCCUCAAAUGCUUCCCCAAUGUCGAGGCGCUGCAUAUUACGGUACUACUAGCAUUGCAUCCUCAUACAUACUCAUCGUGCACGAUCCAUUAAUUACCUGCCGAUGAAAUGUUCACGAAAUCCCAUCAUUUGUUGCAGUCUGAAAAAUGUGAUCAACUCGCUGCCAAGUUCGACCUAAGUUCUGGGAAGAGGUUGGUCUCAUCGUAAGUGUGCUCUUGCGGCUCAAGGUGAUCACAUUUCGUGAAUAUCGUGCCAGGCAAGAUGAGCUUGCCUUCCUCCAGUACAUCUUGCAGCAUGCAAUGGUGCUCAAGUAUGCAGUGGUUCAGAUGGUCAAUCCAAAAUUCACUUCACUGUCCGUAGAUGAGAUGGCCUACACCAUAGACAAUAUGCAGCCUCCUCAAAAUUAAAGGUGGGCCAGUUCAGUUGGUUUAUUAACCAUGGGGACUCAUGGUCCUGAAGGAGGUGAAACUUGGACUUUUCGAAAAGGAGCAGACCUCUCCGACGACGACCCUAUUGCACCAGUUAAAUUCAUCAUAAGGGGUUAGUGUUGUUUUGCAAUAUCUAUAAUUCUACACAUGAUCGAUGCACAGUUUUUAGAUUGUCAGUAUGUUUUAGUAUCUGAAGAUUGUGCUAACAUGAUUAUCGAAUAUAUUGGUGAAGUAAUUCAGUAGUGCUAUUGUACAAUAUAUAUGACCAUGUAGCAACAUAUUUAUUGCUUGCAGAUUGCAUCCUGUAAUCCUGAUUUCUCAUUAACGAAACUUAAUUUAAUUACCCUUGUACUGUUUCAUUCUAGAGGUAAUCCAGUAUGAAAUGUGAAUCUUUGUGUAUAGCUAUGCGAGCUAGGUUGUUCAAUUUAGAUAUGCAUUUAUUUAGCUUUCAACCUCAUGACCACUAGACAUCCUAGACCAAUUGCUCCUUAGGCACAAGUCUCAACUUUCAGGUUGCAUGCAUGUUUCUCAAUUUUGAUUUUGCACAAAGUUAUGAUGCAUGCAUGUUGUUUCCACUUAGCCCUGCUGCACUAGCCAAAGUACUUACCUUGGUUAAUUAGCCACUAAAAUUACAGGCCAUCACGUAUACCAUUUAUGUAAUGCGCCUCACUUACUGGCAAAAUUCACACAUUACCAACACCAUAAGUUUGCAUUUGGAUAAACAGCCUCAAUUUCUUCACCAUGUCUCGGUUCCUUCCGUUCUGCUAUGUUACUGGACCACUUGUCUACUUCCUCAUCCUGAUCAGGCUGUCUUUUGUUAUGCCUUCAUGCGGCAUCAGUUGCAGGCCCGGCUACUCACCAGCAGAAGUCACGAGCUGCCAAGCGUCGCAACUGAGAUCUUCGACACAAGGAGUUAUGCAUCGCCGGCGUGUUUAAUCUGAAGAAUUAGCCUACCUGGUUGCCUUCCAUGGUUCUUGUAGUGAUCGAGUGCUGAAAAUGGUGUCAAGUUGCUACUCUGUUUUGCACGAGUCUGUGUGUGCAGGGAGCUGUGUGGUCUAUGGCCAGAGAUCAUUCUCCAGUAACUGAAAAAGACAAGGUGUAGUUGGCAACUUUAGGCACUGUAGUGAUCAAAUUCUGCAAUGGUGUCAACUCUAGUUGCUUCGUUUAAUUAUGAUGAGCUACCUGUAUACCGGAGCUCAUUCUAGUUCUGGUUCAGUAUGGCCGGAGCUCAUUCUCUAUUACUGUGCCUAAAAACGGCAUGUGGAAUUUGGCAACUACUCCCACUAGUGUCAAGAACGUUCUUAUAUUAUGAUACGGAGGGAGUAUUAGGCAGAAGUAACGAAUCCUUGGACUAGAAACAAUCAAAGCAUCAAUCAUUUCUACACACGCAACAUCAAUCAAGCAUCAAUCAUUCCUUAGCAAUGCAUCUUGUGCUAAUUCAGGAUACGUGAACCGGUACCCUUGCGCCGCGUGACUCGAGGGCGAAAGCCUAGCGCCGUCGGGAUCCUCCCUCGCCCUCGUCCCUCAUCGCCGCCUGCAGUGGCGAAGCCAGGAGUUCAAACUUGUGAUGUCAAUUCAAAAUUGUGAUGUCAAGUAGUUGUAUUGAGAUUAGUUCUACAUUAUUUUUUGGAGGAUUUCUAUUGUUUUUGUCUUAAUCCUGUGUAGUCAACUGACUACACAGAAUACUCCUGGCACCGCCACUAGCCGCCUGAGGCUAGCGCCGGCCAAGGAAGGUGGCGGCGGAGCCGUGCUGCUCCGCCCUGGUGGAAGGAGUGGAGGGCCCCAAGAUUAUAGUUGUGAAUAAUUAAGAGUUGAGUUACCUCAUUAUGAGAGUGUGAUAUCUCAAGUCGGUGAAGGUCCUCAGGAGUGUUGGUACUACAACCACCACGCGACGGGUUCCUACAGUUCAUCUCGGAGUUGAGGUAGCCCUCGGAUUUUCAACAGUAGUGAGUUCCGGUUCCCUGACCAGCCAGUGGCAGGUGCUACCGCUAUGGCCGGUCAUUUUGCAUCCUCUGCCAUGGUAGCUGAAGAAGAUGAUUUGUACAGUUAAAUUGUCCAUUGUGCUUUUUCCGUGAUGUACUUUUCUUGUUUGUGGCGAUCUUGUAUUGUCAUCUGUAGGGCAGGGAAAGACCAUGUACUUAAUUUUACACUCAUGUUCUGAUUACUUAAUUUUACACUCAUCGCCAACUUGAAGUUCCUCCUCCUCUGCUUCCAACAAAUGUCGGGCCUCACGAUCAACUUCCAUAAGAGCAAAGUGAUGAUCCUUGGCUACUCUCCUGAGGAGGCCCAGGCCAUGGCCGACCGUCUGAACUGCCGGCUGGGCUCUUUCCCCACCACCUACCUGGGGAUCCCCGUUAGUGACUAGACUGACCGUUGCCGACCUCCGCCCGGCGGUCACUAGGAUGCAGCACCGGGUUGAACCGUGGAGGGGCAGGUGGCUUUCGAAGGCAGCCAGGGUAAUCCUCAUUAACUCCUCGUUGUCCAGCCUCUUGUGGCUCCUCGUGAGCUUCUAUAGCUUACAUGAGACCUUACAUUAGGAGAUUGCCAAAUACCAGUCCUGGUUCUUCUGGGCUGGCGAGGGAGAGAAACAAAAAUACCAUAUGGUGAGCUGCCCAGACAUCUGAAAACCCAAGGACCAGGGUGGCCUUGGGAUCCUGUCCUCCAGGCGCAUGAACAUUGCUCUCUUGACGCGCUGGCUCUGAAGGAUCGCCAAUGGGGAGGGGGGACUCUGGUUAACCCUCAAUCGCAAUAAAUACCUUCGCGGUCAGCCCCUCGCCUUCUGCCAGCGCACCGGUGGAUCCCAAUUCUGGCAGGCGGUGAUUCAGCUCCUCCCUAUCCUCCGAAUUGGUACCUCCAUCUCGGUGGGCUCAGGAUCUGCGACGUUGUUUUGGUUCGACCGUUGAUUGGGGACUCCCCCCUUGCCGCUCGUUUCCCGGAAUUAUUCUCCAUCGCGGUUGACCCUAGGGUCUCCGUCGAGACGGCCCUUAUUGACUUAGGGCGGCUCACCUUCCGUCGCCCCUUUGGCCCACUCGAGGUGGCCGCGUGGGAUACCCUCCUCCAGUCCAUCGCUCUCCAAUUGUUAGAUGUGGACAGCUUGCCCGACUCCGUGUCAUGGCGUUUGGAGCCCUCGGGGCGUUUCUCCACGAAGUCCUUAUAUCCGGCCAUUGCCCCUUCUCGACUCCUGAGCCGUUUAGCCUGAUUUGGGACAUCCGCCUACCGCUGAAGAUCCGGAUCUUCAUGUGGCAGUGGAUCCGUGGCCGCCUCCCUUCUGGGGUUGAGGUCCUCAAGCGCAAUGGUCCGGGAGAUGGGAUGUGUCCCCUGUGUGGCACGGCGGAGGACGCCAACCACAUCUUCUUCUCCUGCGUACGGCCCAAUUCCUGUGGACCUGCGAUACGGUCGGUGGUCAUUGGUGUAACACCAACUUCCCGGACUUGCUGGCGGAAUCCACGCCUCUGCCCCCCGCCACCGCCACAUUAGGUGGUUGUGCGUUGGGGUUCUUGCCUGGACGCUUUGGACCAUCCGCAAUAAGCUUGACAUCCAAAGAACGCCUCUUCGACGUGCGACUGGCGCGAUCUUCAAACUGUGUGGUUACUUGCGGCUUUGGCAGUCACUUAGCCGCCCCCGGGAUCGGGACGCCAUCGACACCAUCCUCGCCGACCUUCACGCGAUGGCCUUCCGUGUGGCGCCUCCUCUCCCACCCCACCCCCGGAGCCCGACUAGGCCUGCGGCCUUCCUAAGGAGCUGGAUCCUUGGCCCGCUCCUUGGGUUGUUGCAUGUUGUGCCUUGUUUUUUUCUGUUUUCAGUGCUUGUUGAGAUGUGCCCUCAGCAUUAACCCUUUCAGUACUCUUUGUAUGUGUUGACUCUUCGCGUGUGUGUGGUGUGAACCUGUGUAUGGAUGAUUGGCUCGGGCGGUUUGCUUUAUAUAUAAAGCGGGGCGAAAGCCUUUUUCGGUAUAAUGAAGAUCAUGGCUUUCACUUAGAUGAAGAAAACUACGGAAAAAGAAAUGCAAAUCUUCGAUGUCCUGCUGUCUCUAGGUGCAAAUGUCAAUAGGAGGCAUGCUAUUAUCCGAAUACAAAUCUUUAUUGUGUACUUGCGCUUAAUUUCUUUGAUGAUGCCAACUGUAAGACAUCGAAAGAUCAUUUACUUAUCUUUACGUUCUUGUUCUGAUAUAAUGAAGAUCGACCCCACAAAAAAAGAAAAGGAUAUAAUAAAGACCGUAUCUUCCACCUAGAUGAAGAAAAAAGACAUCGCCUGUCUCAACUAAGGAAAAAGAAAUACAAACUUUGAUAUCCAAGUAUUGGCAUGUACUACUGUAGUACGUUUGCUGCUCUACGGGCUGUGCCGAACUGCUGGUUGGUUCACUUGGUUGAGAAAGGUCACACAUUCAGUACCUGGAUGUCAAUACAGGGUAUUAGUACAUGGAAGGUAUGGUAUGAUAGACGAUCAGCAAUGUACCUUCAAAACCAUGCCUGCGCAGCCUCGAUAUAUCUCCUACAUACAGAAGUACGCAGCAGUUUUGUAAGAAUGAAACCAAUGCCCCCACAGAUGAAAUAAAUCCAACACUUAAUAAUCUGCGCUGCUACAAAACACAUGUGCCGAGAUUCAGGUCGCCGCAGCUACCAUAAAUCCAACAAUUAAUUUAUUGCAUCGGGUAAGUGGUAUCUUCUGAUAUUAGUUAGAAUGUUGGUAAUACUUUGGUGUAACGGGUGCUAGGUUUUUGUUUUGUUCCUUGUGGAAAAAUAGGCAUCAUAGUAGCCUCUAUGAUGCACUGUCUCAAUUUUUGGAUUCUCCUGAAAAAAGAAUUGAAUUAUUCAUGUAGAUGUCGAUUAGUUAUUUAUUCUCAGGCUAAGUUGGCUAGCAUUGAAAUAUUGCUAGGAGACAUAAAGGUCACAGGAGAAGAGUUGUUGUUUGGAUUUUUAAACCGGUAUGAAUCUUAAUUUGAUACCUGAAAUCUAUAGAAAUGAAACAUUUGUUUUAUUUUAGUAACCGAUGCUUUUGGCCUUUAUAAUGAGAGCUCUUGUUCUUGAUAAGUAGGUGCGGAGUAGCAGAGGCACUUGAUAUAUGUAUUUUUCUUACUAUAGUUGAUCAGCGUGUGUGUUCUUUACAACCUAAAUGUUUAAGGUGCUGAGUUACAACUUACAUCAGUGAUAAUUAAUUAUACAGGGACUUCUGUGGGGAUUUCAGAAAAAUUAUGUACCUGUGGUGAAGAAAAGGCAUGUUCAACCGGACAAGGAUGGAGCACUCUGCUCAAAACAUUGAGGAUGCUGUAGCUGCCAGCAGAUUUGCCUACCUAGAAGCUCCAUGUUUUUCCUUUGUUAUCUUUUUGGAAGGUGGGUUCUGAAAUAAGUACUUUGAUAUUGAGGUGAUCUGUCCCUAAACUUGCAUAAUGGUUAUGGGAGCUUGCUAAAUUGCCACAGAUGAACUUAGACUGUUCUUCAGCACACGGCAAAUGGCAGAGAACACGAGCCUGGCUUUCUUCUUGAUGGUUUCAGGAUAGCCUCCAUAUGCCUACGCCCUACGGGUAUAAAUAUCAGACCACCAAAUCAAGAAAGUACUUGAAAGGAAAAAAUGAAGCACUCACCAGCCAGUUGUGAAGUUAAACGAUCUCUGAAUUGCUGCAAUAUCUGAAGAAGAUACAGCCUGAAGACCAUCCAUAGCUUCCAUGGAUACACCAAAUGUGCAAGUCUCUAGCACAUCAUCUUGUUUAAGGAACAGCUUCCAGCAAGAAAUGGACAACUAGUCUAAUUUUCUCACGCGUAACAAUUUUCAGAGUAACACCAUGAAUAGGAUCAGGACCAAGCUGCUCCAGCCUCACCAAUUGACUGAUACUUGUGGACAAAGCAAACUACUACCAAAACAAUAACCAUACAUGGCAAGGCACCCCAUUGGAAUGCUCUUAUUUAACGAUAAUCACAGCAGGAAAUAAGCCCGGGCGAUUGGACAUAACUCGCCUAAUGCAAAACAUAAGGAUUGUGGAAACUUAUAUUGCUACAUAAGCGCAAUCACGUGGCAGAGAUUAGUAACUUCUAGUACAAAUCAAAUCACAGAAGCAAUCACUAACAAAGUAACAAUAGUAGUACAACUACUUGCAGAUAACCAGAGUCAAGCUCUGCGUGCUCAGUUAAACCCAACACGUUCAACAAUACAGUUGGUUCUGUGCCUAACGCAUAAAUGUAACUUACUGUGAGCGCAUCAUCAACCUAAAAACUUACAUUACAAAAAGCACAAUCGUGUGGCAGAGAUGGUAAUCAGAAGCUGCUGAAAUGAACUACUGCUUUUGAUAUAUCAGUUUGCCAAAAGAGGCAACAGAGCAUUGGCAGUCAUCCAUCAAUCAAUUCCCCAUCCAGCAAUAAGAGCACUUGAGAGUUCCAGAUAACCAGAGUCGGCAAGCACCAACUAAAGCAACAGAACCAGCUACAGUCGCUACUAGAUAGAUAGAUAGAUACAAGCAAUGCAGAUGCAAUCUAGGAGGAGGUGAACUUGGUGACGGCCUUGGUGCCCUCGGAGACGGCGUGCUUGGCGAGCUCCCCGGGGAGGACGAGGCGGACGGAGGUCUGGAUCUCCCGGGAGGUGAUGGUGGGCUUCUUGUUGUAGCGGGCGAGCUUGGCGGCCUCGGCGGCGAGCUUCUCGAAGAUGUCGUUGAUGAAGGAGUUCAUGAUGGACAUGGCCUUGGAAGAGAUGCCGAUGUCGGGGUGCACCUGCUUCAGCACCUUGAAGAUGUAGAUCUUGUACGUCUCCACGCCCUUCUUCG